rnacentral:rRNA from 1 species
GUUGAGCUAACCGAUACUAAUGAACCGUGAGGCUUAACCUUACAACGCCGAAGC